GACGAACGCUGGCGGCGUGCUUAACACAUGCAAGUCGAACGCAGUGGCGAACGGGUGAGUAACACGUGAGUAACCUGCCCCCCUCUUUGGGAUAACGCCCGGAAACGGGUGCUAAUACUGGAUAGUUGGGGAUGGGCUCGAGGCCUAUCAGCUUGUUGGUGGGGUGAUGGGCUAACAAGGCUUUGACGGGUUGCCGGCCUGAGAGGGUGACCGGUCACAUGGGGAAUGAGAUACGGCCCAGACUCCUACGGGAGGGAGCAGUGGUGAAUAUUGCACAAUGGGCGAAAGCCUGAUGCAGCGACGCCUCGUGAGGGAGGACGGCCUUCGGGUUGUAAACCUCUGUCGCGCAUGGUUGGGUAGUUGGUAAAGAAGCGCCGGCUAACUACGUGCCAGCAGCCGCGGUAAUAC
rnacentral:rRNA from 1 species